AUAGCAACAACAAAGGGGCAUUAGGGCAAUGUUGCAAGUGUCAUGUGUUCUUAUAAUCAAGUUAAUGGCAAGCCAACUUGUGCAGACCCUGACCUUCUUAAAGGGGUUAUUCGUGACAAGUGGAAAUUAAAUGGAUAUAUAGUUUCUGAUUGUGACUCAGUAGAUGUGUUUUU